AUGGCUCAGGAUGAACGCUAGCGGCAGGCUUAACACAUGCAAGUCGAGGGGCAACGCGAGUAGCAAUACUUGGCGGCGACCGGCGCAAGGGUGCGUAACGCGUGAGCAACAUGCCCGUAUCAGGGGGAUAAUCCAGGGAAACUUGGUCUAAUACCCCAUAGUAAUUUUGUAAGGCAUCUUAUAAGAUUUAAAGCUUUGGUGGAUACGGAUUGGCUCGCGUGACAUUAGCUGGAUGGUAAGGUAACGGCUUACCAUGGCUAUGAUGUCUAGGGGUUCUGAGAGGAAGGUCCCCCACACUGGAACUGAGACACGGUCCAGACUCCUACGGGAGGCAGCAGUGAGGAAUAUUGGACAAUGGAUGGAAAUCUGAUCCAGCCAUGCCGCCGUGAAGGAAGAAGGUCCUAUGGAUUGUAAACUUCUUUUGUAUGGGAGCAAUAAGGCCUACGAGUAGGUUGAUGAGAGUACCAUACGAAUAAGCACCGGCUAACUCCGUGCCAGCCGCCGC
rnacentral:rRNA from 1 species